UCACGGACACUACAUUUCCCAGAGGGCAUCCCGCACCGCAGCGUUUUCUGGGAUGGGAACCACGCCGCCUGGGAGCUUCGGUGAUACGAGCGAAGCGCGGACCUUUCAACAAGAGCUUUAUUAAUUCUCACGCUACGACCCAGGAAGGCUAUGGAGGUGGCUGCUAAUUGCUCUCUGCGCGUGAAGAGACCUCUGUUGGAUCCCCGUUUCGAGGGUUACAAGCUCUCCCUGGAGCCGCUGCCCUGUUACCAGCUGGAGCUUGACGCAGCCGUGGCAGAAGUAAAACUUCGAGAUGAUCAAUAUACACUGGAACACAUGCAUGCUUUUGGAAUGUAUAAUUACCUACACUGUGAUUCAUGGUAUCAAGACAGUGUCUACUACAUUGAUAACCUUGGAAGAGUUAUGAAUUUAACAGUGAUGCUGGACACUGCUUUAGGAAAACCACGAGAAGUGUUUCGACUUCCCACAGAUUUGACAGCAUACGACAGUCGUCUUUGUGCAUCUAUCCAUUUCACAUCUUCUACCUGGGUUACCUUGUCAGAUGGAACUGGACGAUUAUAUCUCAUUGGUACAGGUGAACGUGGAAAUAGUGCUUCUGAAAAAUGGGAGAUUAUGUUUAAUGAAGAGCUUGGGAAUCCUUUUAUCAUAAUUCACAGUGUCUUACUGCUGAAUGCUGAAGAACAUUCAGUAACUACCUUACUUCUUCGAAUAGAGAAAGAGGCAUUGGAUAUGAAAGGAAGUGGAUUCUAUGUUUCUUUGGAGUGGGUCACUAUCAGAAAAAACAAAGAUAGUAACAAAUAUGAAAUUAUUAAAUGUGAUAUUCUCCGUGGAAAGUCAGUGCCACAUUAUGCUGCUAUUGAGCCUGAUGGGAAGGGUCUGAUGAUUGUCUCCUACAAGUCCUUCACAUUUGUUCAUGUUGGUCAAGAUCUUGAAGAAAAUAAGAAUGAGAACAUGUCAGAGAAAAUCAAAGAACCUCUGUAUUACUGGCAACAGACUGAAGAUGAUUUGACAGUAACAAUACGGCUUCCAGAAGGCAGUUCUAAGGAGGACAUUCAAGUACAGUUUUUGCCUGAUCACAUCAACAUUGUGCUGAAGGGUCAGAGGUUUCUGGAAGGAAAUCUCUAUUCAUCUAUUGAUCAAGAAAGCAGUACAUGGAUAAUUAAAGAGAAUAAUUGCUUGGAGAUUUUCUUGAUUAAAAAGAAUGAAGGACUAACAUGGCCAGAGCUAGUGGUCGGUGAUAAGCAAGGAGAGUUUAUAAGAGACUCAGCCCAGGGUGCUGCAAUAGCUGAACGUUUAAUGCAUUUGACCUCUGAAGAACUGAAUCCAAAUCCAGAUAAAGAAAAACCUCCUUGUAAUGCUCAAGAGUUAGAAGAAUGUGACAUUUUCUUUGAAGAGAGCUCCAGUUUAUGCAGAUUUGAUGGCAGUACAUUAAAAACUACUCAUGUGGUGAAUCUUGGAAGCAACCAGUACCUUUUCUCUGUCAUAGUGGAUCCUAAAGAAAUGCCCUGCUUCUGUUUGCGCCAUGAUGUUGAUGCCCUACUCUGGCAACCACACUCCAGCAAACAAGAUGAUAUGUGGGAACAUAUUGCAACUUUCAAUGCUUUAGGCUACGUCCAAGCAUCAAAGAGAGACAAAAAAUUUUUUGCCUGUGCUCCCAAUUACUCCUAUGCAGCCCUGUGCGAAUGCCUGCGUCGAGUAUUCAUCUACCGUCAGCCUACUGCCAUGUCCACUGUACUUUACAACAGAAAGGAAGGCAGGCUUGCAUUUACCUGGAAAAUUGUUUACUUCAUAUACCAUUUUAAUGAGCAAAACCAGCCAAGAUAAAAGGUUUGUUACUGGUACUUCAGGAACCCAGCUGAAAUUGGAGAGGAGGAAUCAGAGAGGAGGAAAAACAACUGAGAAAUCAAGAACGUCAAACAAAAUGGAAAGCUGCUUUGGAAAACAGCCUGGCGGUUCCUCAAAAGGUGCAGAGGGUGACAUACAGAAGGGAAGAGGAAGAGCUGAGAAAGAGCAUGAGUGUCAAUCUUCUUGUCUCACAAAGUGGGAUUCAAAAAGAGAUAAUGUUAAAAGUAUCUAAGGGCACCUGGAUGGCUCAGUCGUUAAGCAUCUGCCUUUGGCUCAGGUCAUGAUCCCAGGGUCCUGGGAUCGAGCCCCGCAUCUGGCUCCCUGCUCUGCGGGAAGCCUGCUUCUCCCUCUCCCACUCCCCCUGCUUGUGUUCCCUCUCUCACUGUGUCUCUCUGUCAAAUAAAUAAAUAAAAUCUUUAAAAAAAAAAAAUAUCUAGAGU